GGCCCCAUCGUCUAGUGGCCUAGGACGCCGGCCCUCUCAAGGCUGAAACACGGGUUCGAAGCCCGUUGGGGCCACCA
rnacentral:tRNA from 1 species